GAGUUUGAUCCUGGCUCAGGAUGAACGCUGGCGGCGUGCUUAACACAUGCAAGUCGAACGGAGUACCCUCGAAGGAGUUUUCGGACAACUGAGAGGACUACUUAGUGGCGGACGGGUGAGUAACGCGUGAGUAACCUGCCUUGGAGUGGGGAAUAACAGCUGGAAACAGCUGCUAAUACCGCAUGAUGCAGUUGGGCCGCAUGGCUCUGACUGCCAAAGAUUUAUCGCUCUGAGAUGGACUCGCGUCUGAUUAGCUGGUUGGUGGGGUAACGGCUCACCAAGGCGACGAUCAGUAGCCGGACUGAGAGGUUGCCGGCCACAUUGGGACUGAGACACGGCCCAGACUCCUACGGGAGGCAGCAGUGGGGAAUAUUGGGCAAUGGGCGCAAGCCUGACCCAGCAACGCCGCGUGAAGGAAGAAGGC
rnacentral:rRNA from 1 species